UCAUUCUUCACCUUCCUUCUCCAGAUCCUGCCCAGAUCCUCCCUGUAAUCUUGCCAUCUCUCUUUGCGACAUCGCUCUUCAGGCACACCCUGGAUGACGCACUGCCAUUUCUCAGCUCAUUACAUUGUGUGGCUACAAGUCCUGCUGCAAAACCAGCAUGGAAAGAAACAACACGCAAGAAUAACAAAGCUCGUCCAGCAUCAGAGGUGGAUAUGCAGCUACUGUUACACAGGAGCAGAGGGGAAAAGCAAAAGCUGUAAGUGAAGAGGGUUAUACGCUGUGCUCCAGCUGAGACACUGCACACCCCAUCAAAAAAGCUGGGAUCUUCAUCCUGCUUUCCCUCACCUCUGGUAUAAUCAGAUGAAAUGUCCAUAGUAAGGAUUUAGGUGAAGGUUUGAGCCAGUUGUUUUAUCCCAAUUAUUCACCAUUCUGCAACUAUUAAUUAAAACAAACAGUUCUCUGAA